rnacentral:rRNA from 1 species
AUGAACGCUAGCGGCAGGCCUAAUACAUGCAAGUCGAACGGGCGGUAGCAAUACCGCUAGUGGCGCACGGGUGCGUAACGCGUAACCAACCUGCCCAGAUCUGGGGGAUAGCCCGCCGAAAGGCGGAUUAAUACCGCAUAAACCCACAGUGUGGCAUCACAUAAUGGGUAAAGAUUUAUCGGAUCUGGAUGGGGUUGCGUAGCAUUAGCUAGUUGGCGGGGUAAUGGCCCACCAAGGCGACGAUGCUUAGGGGACCUGAGAGGGUGAUCCCCCACACUGGCACUGAGAUACGGGCCAGACUCCUACGGGAGGCAGCAGUAGGGAAUAUUGGGCAAUGGGCGAGAGCCUGACCCAGCCAUGCCGCGUGCCGGAUGAAGGCCUUCUGGGUUGUAAACGGCUUUUCUCAGGGAAGAAAACGGGGAUGCGUCCUCAACUGACGGUACCCGAGGAAUAAGCACCGGCUAACUCCGUG